rnacentral:rRNA from 1 species
UACGUAGGGGGCAAGCGUUAUCCGGAUUUACUGGGUGUAGAGGGAGCGUAGACGGCACUGCAAGUCUGGAGUGAAAGCCCGUGGCCCAACCACGGGACUGCUCUGGAAACUGUGUUGCUGGAGUGCAGGAGGGGUAAGCGGAAUUCCUAGUGUAGCGGUGAAAUGCGUAGAUAUUAGGAGGAACACCGGUGGCGAAGGCGGCUUACUGGACUGUAACUGACGUUGAGGCUCGAAAGCGUGGGGAGCAAACAGG